rnacentral:lncRNA from 1 species
AUAGAGUUGGGCUAGAAUACUAUUGAUAGCAAAACGUCAUUUUUGCUAUCAAGUUUUUAGCCUUUGGAUCAACUCUUUUUAUAAUUUCUAAUCAUUGGAUUCAAUACUAUAAACCAGUGGGGACCACUCAACCCUAGAGGGACCACUCAAUUCUAACUGACUAACAUCAUCCUAUCCCUACAAUUUCUCAUCCAAGGGUUAAAAACUUGAUAGCAAAAAGAGCGUUUUGCUAUCAAUAGUAUUCCAGCCUAAUUCUAUAUAUAUAUAUAUAUAUAUAUAUAUACACACUAGGGUUACUAUAUUCUUAUGAGUAUAAAUCUCUUUAUACUUAUAAAUUUUGAUCGUUGGAUGAAGGGAUAUACGGUUAGGAUGAUAGUGAUCCACGGUUAGGAUGAUAGUAGUUCUCUAGGGUUGAGUGGGUGCAUGAUUGGUUGAAUAGUAUGAUCUAAUGAAUGGAAAUAGUCAAAAUAGCAGAUCUAACAGCCGAAAGCUUAUGAGUAUAAAAGAGACUAUACUCAUAAAAUACAGUAACCGGACUAUUUACGCUAUAUAUACAGAGAGAGAGAGAGAGAGUAAGGCUAUUAUACUCUUAUAAGUGUAGAGUUCGUUGUACUCAUAAGUUGUUUUUAAUGAUGAAGCUUCCGAAUAGACGUUACACACCAUUAAAUUAUGAUUUAGAGUAUUUGAAACUUUAUAAAAUAAAUUUUGUAAUUUUUCGAAAUUAUAAUAAAGUUCAUCAAAUGGAUGUAAAAUGGACGGUCAAAAUUAAACGACAUUCUAAAAGUAGAUGAUUGGAUCCUUCAAUUUAAGGUCCGAGUUGUUGAUCUUUAUUUAAAUAGUGAAUGAAAUUUUCUAGCAAAAAUUCAACUAAUUCCGAUUCUUUUACACCAUUAAACUAGUAAAUAUUUCAUAUCGGCCAUUAAAAUUUAUCAAUUUUGAGAUCUUUUGAUCAUAAGGCAAAUGAUGUCAAAAUAUUAUAAAAUUUAAUAUUUACAAGUUUCAAAUACUCUAAAUUAUAUUUAAAAUAUGAAUCGUUGAUUCAGAAAUUUUAUCAUCGAAAACGAUUUAUGAGUACGAAGAGGAUGGUAUUUAUAAGAGUAAAGAAGCUGAA